GGAGAAUUACUUGAACCCAGGAGACGGAGGUUGAAUUGAGCUAUUACGGCAUUGCACUCCUGCCUGGGCAACAAGAGCAAAACUCUGUCUCAAAUAAUAAUAAUCAUUGUUAUCAUCAUUAUAAUAUAUAGCCAUAAUAAUAAACGUAGCAAUAAUAAACAUGACUUCUGCUAGUUUUCUCCAGGAUUAUAUUAUAGGUGUUUUCCCUCGUGUUUCCUCAUUUCUGGGAUUUCUUUCCUUCUCCUUGUUUAUCUGAUCAUGAAUCCAUUGACUAGGCUUGGUCAAAGUUCUGUUUUGUCCACAAGAGCUCCACAGGGAACACGUUUCUGCUGAGGAGAGACUGCUGGGUUCUGGAGGAGUAUUUUACCUCCUUGCUGGAGACAGUUAAUGACCUUCAACUACAUGGUUGAAGACCUCCUGCAGGCAGAGGCAUGUUUUAAAACGGGGGCCAGGUCAUAUUGUGUGAUGAAGUUUGUACUUCUCAGUCACCUGGGCAAGUCGUGUAAACCAGGGGUCCCCAAACCAUGGGCCACAGACCACUACUGAUCCAUGGCCUGCGAGGAACCAGGCCACACAGCAGUAGGUGAGCAGCAGGUGAGUGAGUGAAGCUUCAUCUGUAUUUACAGCCACUCCCUAUUGCUCACAUUACUGCCUGAGCUCUGCCUCCUGUCAGAUCAGCCGCAGCAUUAGCGUCUCUUAAGAGCCCAAACCCUAUUGUGAACUGCAGGAUCUAGGUAUCUCCCUCUUUAUGAGAAUCUAAUGCUGGAUAAUCUGUCACUGUCUCCCAUCACCCCCAGGUGGGACCAUCUAAUUGCAGGAAAACAAGUUCAGGGCUUCCACUGAUUCUAUGAUACGGUGAGUUGUGUGAUUAUUUCAUUAUAUUACAAUGUAACAAUAGCAGAAAUAAGGUGCAUAAUAAAUGUAAUACACUAGAAUUAUUCUGAAACCAUUCCCAGUCAGCCCCCAACUGGUCUGUGGAAAAAUGGUCUUCCACAAGGGCAGUCUCUGGUGCCAAUAAGGUUGGGGACCACCGGUGUAAACCACACAGUUCUCCCCACUGGCCAAAGGUG
rnacentral:lncRNA from 1 species